GGCGAACGGGUGAGUAAUAUAUCGGAACGUGCCUAGUAGCGGGGGAUAACUACUCGAAAGAGUAGCUAAUACCGCAUACGCCCUACGGGGGAAAGGGGGGGAUCGCAAGACCUCUCACUAUCAGAGCGGCCGAUAUCGGAUUAGCUAGUUGGUGGGGUAAAGGCCCACCAAGGCGACGAUCCGUAGCUGGUUUGAGAGGACGACCAGCCACACUGGGACUGAGACACGGCCCAGACUCCUACGGGAGGCAGCAGUGGGGAAUUUUGGACAAUGGGGGAAACCCUGAUCCAGCCAUUCCGCGUGUGCGAUGAAGGCCUUCGGGUUGUAAAGCACUUUUGGCAGGAAAGAAAUCGCACAAAUUAAUACUUUGUGUGGAUGACGGUACCUGCAGAAUAAGCACCGGCUAACUACGUGCCAGCAGCCGCGGUAAUACGUAGGGUGCAAGCGUUAAUCGGAAUUACUGGGCGUAAAGCGUGCGCAGGCGGUUCGGAAAGAGAGGUGUGAAAUCCCAGGGCUUAACCUUGGAACUGCACUUUUAACUCCCGAGCUAGAGUAUGUCAGAGGGGGGUGGAAUUCCGCGUGUAGCAGUGAAAUGCGUAGAUAUGCGGAGGAACACCGAUGGCGAAGGCAGCCCCCUGGG
rnacentral:rRNA from 1 species